rnacentral:lncRNA from 1 species
GUUUCUGGCAGGUUCUCAUUGAACACUCGCUUCUGAAAGACUGCUACUUGCUCCCUUUGAGGUCCCAGCCCUGGUCAACAGUCCCAGCUGAGCCUGUAUUUAGCCAUUUCAGCUCAGACUCCAGGCUUGUGAAGAAAGAUGCCAUCUUGUAGGUGGACCCUCCAGUCCAAGCUCAUGUAAGACCCAAUACCUGGUCUCAGACAUCCAGAGCAGAGUAGAGGCAAGGACAACCAUUCCCACCGGGCUUUUUGUCUAAAUUUUUUACCCACAGGAUUUCUGAUCAAAUAAGAUUGUUGCUGUGUGGCCCUUCUAAGUGUGGGGUUCUUUGUUUCAUGCUAACAGACAAGUGGAACAAGUCAUGUAGGCAGAGUGCAAACUAUAACGACCAGGCACACUGUGAAAUGAGGUUGGAGAGAUAUCUGCUUUGGAACUUGCUGGUUUUGAGAACCAUAAUGAGGACUUCGGUCACUAUCCCUAGGGAAAUGGGAAGCUAGUGAGAGGUUUUGACCUAGGAAAAACAAAACCAGAUUUGUGUUUUGAAAGAUCAUAUGGGCUUCAGUGUGGACAAUGCUGGAUUGAAAAGGGCCUGGGCUAGGUUUGGAAUCUAGCUUCAGAUGUCAUUGACUUGUCUAGGUGAGAGACAGUGGCAUCUUGAACUAAGAGGGUGGAAGUGGACCUUGGUAUAAGUGAAAAGAGUAGAGAGAUCCUUAGAAGGUAAAGUUUCCUUGUGUUGACCAUGGCUUGAUGAAGAGGAUGUGUCUCUGGGAGAGGUCUCCUUGGCUCCUAAGAGGAGAGUUAUACUGCUUUUUGAUGGUGAUAUCAUUUAUUCAGACAGAGGAGUGAUGAAGACAAAGAAUUUGGCUUUCGACAUUUUAAAUUAACCCUCGGCAUUCAAAGUAGAGAUAAUGAGUAGGUAUUUACAUGUAAGGGUCUACAACUCAGAGGAAGAAGCUCAACUCGGUCCAUCAGUUGAGAGUCAUCAGCCUAGAAAUGACCACAAAAGCCACAGAUUUGAAUGAAUUGGCCUAGGGAAGAAGUUCAAAAUAAAACUGUGGAGUUCAAGAUGAAGAAACUCCAGCAUUCAAAAGGCAGUAAUGGAGGAUAGGCUGAGAAGAAAAAUCUUAGAGAUGGAGGAGUGUUCCUGUGUUCUGGAAGCUUGGGAAAGAUCAUGAAGAGAAUGAAGAUCAUUAACAGAAUGAGCAUGAAAGAUCAUGAAGAUCACUAAGAGAAUGGCCCAAGCAAGAACUCAUCAAGACGGCAGAUCACUUGCUCCUUGAAUGAAGAUGAAUGAGUCAGAGAGUUCAUUUGGAAUUUGAGUUUACCAAGAUAUGAAAGGCAAAGGUGUCUUCGUUUUAUUUCCAAAAAAGCAACAGCAACAGUCCUUAGAAGAAAAGUGAAAAAGUGACUAAGGCUGGAUGAAAGCAGACACAGCCAAAAGAUUGAUUUCAUAAACUGCAAGGGGACAAAAAGAGGUUAAGAGCUCAGCCACUGGUCGGAGGCCACUGCAGGCCAAGGAAAGGUUCUACCCUCAUAAUAGAGAGCAAGCAGUGCUGGAG